rnacentral:rRNA from 1 species
AACGAACGCUGGCGGCAGGCCUAACACAUGCAAGUCGAGCGCACCUUCGGGUGAGCGGCGGACGGGUGAGUAACGCGUGGGAAUAUGCCCAGAUCUACGGAAUAGCCUCGGGAAACUGAGAGUAAUACCGUAUACGCCCUUCGGGGGAAAGAUUUAUCGGAUUUGGAUUAGCCCACGUUAGAUUAGGUAGUUGGUGGGGUAAUGGCCUACCAAGCCUACGAUCUAUAGCUGGUUUGAGAGGAUGAUCAGCCACACUGGGACUGAGACACGGCCCAGACUCCUACGGGAGGCAGCAGUGGGGAAUCUUAGACAAUGGGGGAAACCCUGAUCUAGCCAUGCCGCGUGAGUGACGAAGGCCCUAGGGUCGUAAAGCUCUUUCAGCUGUGAAGAUAAUGACGGUAGCAGCAGAAGAAACCCCGGCUAACUCCGUGCCAGCAGCCGCGGUAAUACGGAGGGGGUUAGCGUUGUUCGGAAUUACUGGGCGUAAAGCGCGCGUAGGCGGACUGUUAAGUCAGAGGUGAAAUCCCAGGGCUCAACCCUGGAACUGCCUUUGAUACUGGCAGUCUUGAGUUCGAGAGAGGUGAGUGGAAUUCCGAGUGUAGAG